GAUGAACGCUGGCGGCGUGCCUAACACAUGCCAGUCGAACGCUGAAGGAGGAGCUUGCCCUGCUGUAUGAGUUGCGAGCGGGUGUGUAGCGCGUAGGUAACCUGCGUGGUAGCGGGGGAUAACUGGUGGAAACGAUAGCUAAUACCGCAUGACAGCAGGUGUUGGAUGAUAACUGUUUAAAAGGGGCAACUGCUACACUACCAGAUGGACCUGCGUUGUAUUAGGGAGUUGGUGAGGUAACGGCCCACCAAGGCGACGAUACCUAGCCGACCUGAGAGGGUGAUCGGCCACACUGGGACUGAGGCACGGCCCAGGCUCCUACGGGAGGGAGCAGUAGGGAAUCUUCGGCAAUUGGCGGAAGUCUGACCGAGCCACGCCGCGUGAGGGAAGAAGGGUUUCGGGUCGGAAAGGUCUGUUGUAAGGGAAGAAAGAGCGGGAGAGUGGAAAGUUCAUGCUGUGACGGUAUCUUAACAGAAAGCAACGGCUAACUACGUG
rnacentral:rRNA from 1 species